UGAGUCGGCGAAAAUGUUAAUUACUUGACUAAUUUAAAGUUUAUGGCCUGUCGUUGCGAAUCUUGUGACACAAGAACAACUGGUAUAUAAAAAGGCUUUCAGAUAUUUUACGAUGCAUUCUACCAGCCUGUUUCAACUGUGAACGACUUGAACAUUCACCCGAACUUUCUUCCGAUCCAGCGACAAUCAAAACAGACAAAAUGAAGGCAGUUUUCGCCAUUCUUUUCGUCGCCCUGGUUUCCUUGAAAUUUGCAGAUUUAAUAGACGCCGCGCCAACACCAAUGGACGACGAAGACAGACAGGAAAUAGCCAAUUUAGCUGCAAGAAUCAUUAAGGUCGCCAUCUCGAAUACCGGAUACUAUGCCAGUGAAAAACGGAACGCCGGAACUGUGGACUCACUCUACAAUCUCCCCCACCUUCUUAGCGUUGGAAAGAAGUAACUUUAUAUACAAGAUGGCGUUGCAUUCUGGACGAGUCACAUUUCGGCAGCGGAUAAGGAUUUUCAAAGUGUAUUUUUCGGACUUAUUUUUCAUAACGAAUUGUUUUACAUAUUGACAGUAUUGUGGACUUACUCACAGAUGUUAUGACAGGAAUCCUUAUUGUGACGAUUUCUGAAUGUUGCGCGCUACGAUAUUAAAUAAAGUUUAUACCAGUU